rnacentral:rRNA from 1 species
AGCGUCAAAAGGGCAUCCGGGGGAUGUCUUGGCGGUAAGAGGCGAUGAAGGACGUGGCACUCUGCGAUAAGCACGGGGGAGGCGAGAGCACCCUUUGAUCCCGUGAUUUCCGAAUGGGGAAACCCAUCUCCGAGAUGUGAGACUAUUAUUCAACUUCGGUUGAAUGCUGGUCUUACAUUUCAAUAGUGAGAUAUUUUACACUGAAUACAUAGGUGUUAAAAAGCGAACCCGGGGAAUUGAAACAUCUAAGUACCCGGAGGAAAGGACAUCAAUUGAGACUCCCUUAGUAGCGGCGAGCGAACGGGGACCAGCCGA